UAUUAAAUCUGAAAUUAUUUUUAUGCAUGCAUUAAAAUUAAGUCUUAAGUUAACCGAAAAAAUAGAAAACUCAAGGUAAGGUAGCUGAGCUAAAAAAGCAGAGGGGAGUAAACAAAACAAUGGCGGUGGCGGCAGCGGCAGCAACUACACUUUCAGCUCUCUCUAUUUCCACCGUUAGCGCGGGCUUUUCAUUCCAUCCAAAACCCAUUCAUUCAAAAACCAACUCCUUACCCACCCGAAGGGGCGCCGUUUUACUCUCCUUCCUUGCUCACACCUCCUUCCUCUCUUUAACUCCAGCCUCCGCCAUUGAAUUCGGCAUCUCAGGACCUAAGGAUUGGCUCAAAGACCAAAAGAAGAAGGCCUACAAGUUCCUAUUAGCCCCCGUCGACGCCUCGCGCGAAUCCCUUCGUUCUGCAUAUCUCUUGCUCAUGGAGCCCGAAGCUGUGUAUUCCGAAGAGGAUUUGCAGAAAUUUCAGGAGCUCUUCAGAUCCGCCGCUAGGGAUUGCGUUCCGCAGGAGAGGAAUUCCUUUGUCAACUUCCAAGCCAACACCGGUGUAGAGGUGUGCACGUUUCGGUUGAUUGUGAAGAAUGCAGCCUCUUUGCUUGGAAAUAAGGAUCCUGUAAAGUUGAAAGCUGAAGACUUGCUAGAUAAUCUUAUAAGAUCUUUCACCUCUGUCACUGGGCUGGCAAGCAAAGCUAAUAUUCAACUCUCAUCAGAUAGGUUUGCCUUUAAUAAUAUGUCAUCAUCAUGGAGAAGACAUAUUUUCCCCCCUUUUUGUGUUUUAAAUAAAAUAAUAAUAAUAGCUGAUGUUCUGUAGCAGCUAAUGGACUUGUAACUUUAGUGUCUCCAAAAAUCAGGGGACUGGUAAAUCGUGUUCGAAAAAUGUUAAAUAAAAGCAAUAGUCAAGCUGUUAGAAUUUCAGCAGAUCGAAUUCAUUAGCGGACCUUUCUCAAGAUUUAUUGUUCUAUUUUUAACAAAAUAGAUCAGAUACAUUUGCACUUUGGAUUGAAUGGAAGAAAGAUGGCUGACGCUGUAUCGGAAACCAUAUCUUCUCUUGACAAAUUUGAGCAGGGGAUCAGGGAUUGCCUUGAAAUCUAACUUUAAAAGGCAGCCUGAACUCCAUUUUGAAGUGGAAAGUGGAUUAUUCAGAAAUCAUGGAAGUAUGGCUGCUGCCUAUAUCUUUUAAAUCCAAAGUUUUGUUAUGUCUUUUCCUUGAUUUUUCUGUUUUGAUUAGGAGGAUUUCUUCUCCACCCUUCUCUUCUGUAAUCUUUUCUUCAACUUAAUGAAUUUCUGAUUGUAUAAAAAUUGUUAUCUACUUUCUUCGAUUUCGAAAAAAAAAAAAAAGCGAGAACUUGCUUUACUUAA